rnacentral:rRNA from 1 species
UACGGAAGUCAGCAGUGGGGAAUAUUGCACAAUGGGCGCAAGCCUGAUGCAGCCAUGCCGCGUGUAUGAAGAAGGCCUUCGGGUUGUAAAGUACUUUCAGUCGUGAGGAAGGUGUUAAGGUUAAUAACCUUAGCAAUUGACGUUAGCGACAGAAGAAGCACCGGCUAACUCCGUGCCAGCAGCCGCGGUAAUACGGAGGGUGCGAGCGUUAAUCGGAAUUACUGGGCGUAAAGGGCACGCAGGCGGUUAAUUAAGUUGGAUGUGAAAUCCCCGGGCUUAACCUGGGAAUGGCAUUCAAGACUGGUUAGCUAGAGUCUUGUAGAGGGGGUAGAAUUCCAUGUGUAGCGGUGAAAUGCGUAGAGAUGUGGAGGAAUACCGGUGGCGAAGGCGGCCCCUGGACAAAGACUGACGCUCAUGUGCGAAAGCGUGGGGAGCAAACAGGGAUUAGAUACC